UCCCUGGUGGUCCAGUGGCUAAGACUCCAUGCUUCCAAUGCAGCAGGUCUGGGUUCAAUUCCUGGUCAGGGAA
rnacentral:tRNA from 1 species